AGGGUAAAACCUUCAGGAGGAAGCUUGGGGGAAGCCACAGGAAGUCCUGACUGGAUGUUGGAUGUUUGCCCCAGGCACGUGUGACCACAAGGAUCACUUCAGCUAAAAACAGUUGAGCAGGGCUGUGUUUGGUUUGGCUCGGGGACAGAUGGGAGCAGGAGCAGCAGGGACAGCUGGAAACCUUCCAAGCGCUUACACGAGAGCUGAGCUGCAGAAAGAGCGCGGCUGAAAAUGCCUUUAUUCCUGGUGGAUACAGCUCUCAUUACUGGUGUCAUCAGCUGGUGCAGCCUUUAAUUAAAUCAUCCCACACUGAGGCAAGUAAGACCAUUAUACCAAUGGCACCCCCUGAAUUGAUUUAAUACUCUGAAUAUCGGGUCUUCACUGACUCAGUUUACAAAGGGAAUUUUUCUUCCAAGUCAGCACUUAGAAGCUGUUUUGAUAAGCACUGGAACGCCAGUUUCAGUGUUACGAAUGAAAAGAAAUCAGAAGGCACACUGGAGGAUGAAGCGCCCGGGGAGCGGUGCUGGAGCCGCUCUGUCUGUGUGGGUGCGCCGUGAUCAGCACCGCUGGGUUCGUCUGGGAAGGAAACUCACGAAAUUCAGAAGAAACACAAAAGCACUUUGCAGGUGUUCUCAAAAGUAACAGCCAGUGGAAAAUCAUCGUCUCUAUCUGGUCGUGAAUUCUGUAGCACAGACGUAGCUUCAGAUUAAAUCCCAUAAAGGCAAUCGAUAAAUCUGCAGAAAUCCAGUGCCUGCAAUUAAAUUCUCUAGAGCUGCUCUCUAAGUACACAAAUUGGGAGCACUGAAAGGACCUCUGCCUCUUGAUGCAUCAUUUUUUUGCUGUGAAUGCUCCUCCUAAUGAAAAAUGAUGGCAAACAAAAAUAGAUUUUCUGUCAUGGGGGUAAUUGUUCUUUUUCUUAGUGCACUCCAAAUAUUUCUGUAAAGCAUCAUCUGCUCUUUAAACACAUAUUGUAGAACAUCAAUGGAAGUCGAUACCUUUUGUCAAUGAGUAAAAUAUUAAAAGUAAUGAGCUGACCUGUUUCUUAUUUAGCUAUUGAUCCUGCCUCUCUCAGGCUGGUUUGCCCAAAAUGUGCAACGCUGGGGAUUUGCUUCCAGAGUCAGACAGAGGAGCUGGGCUGGGGGACUGAGCUCUGCUCAGGGGGGUUCAUUCCAUGCUCAUUCCCAUGCUGAUGGGGGAAUGAAAUGAUUCUUAAAUUGUCUUGAGUAAAACAAUCAAUGAGGUGCUGAGAGGUGGGGGCUUCCACUGGUUUUAUUUACACUGGUGCUGCUGAUCGUGGGGAAAUGGUACCUUUGGUGUAUAGAUUUUAAUUAAGGCUGUGAACAACCUCCCAGAGAUACAACUGAGAUUGGAGGGAAAAAUUAAUUUUUGUGAGUCUGAACUGCCUGUUUUAGUAAUUGUGGAGAUUAAAAAUUGAACUGGGGAUUGAAGAUACUAGAUUAAAUAAACAGCGCAGUAUUUUAAGUUAUAUUCAGUGCUGCUGGAAGUGAAUUGGGUAAGUGGCUGGCCCAGGAGGGGAAGGGAGGGCAGGAAUUGUUGUGGCUUUGGUCACGCUUCUGAGGCCUGACCUGUGCAAUUCACCCCUAAAGGGAUCAAUCUGAUGUGCUUGGAAAUGCUCCUGGGCAGGCGCUGCUCUGGGAGCCCAUUGCUGUGGGAACGGAAUUCCCCCCAGACUGAAAUUCCCCCCCAGACUGAAAUUCCUCCCCAGACUGAAAUCUGAAAUUUCCACCUCCUUACGAUGGAUAACACGGGGCAAUGAGUCUUUCUGCUGGCUCUUUGCUCCCGGCCCCUCGUGCCUGGUGUCCAGCCGGAGCUGGCCAGGAGCCCAGGCAGAGCCAGGAGGGUGUGAGCUGCACUGGGCAGAGCACAGAGCUCCUCAGGAGCAGGCACAGCUGGCAGCACUGCCAGUGGCCCGGGGAAGUGUUUGGAGUGUGUUUUCCCUGAGAACAAGGUGACUUUAGCAGUUUCCCUGUCGCUGAGGUGCUGCUGCCCCACAGCCCGAGCCCUGCCCGGCACAGGGACGGCUCCUGCCCUGCUCCUGCCCCUCCUGGGGCAGAUUCCUCCCACGGGGCUGCAGCCCUGUCACUUACAGCUGUGCUGGCUGUUUCCUCUCCCAGCUCCUUGUCCCAGCUCUGACUCUGGGUGGCCGUGGGCUGGUGGCUGCCAGCAGUGGCCAGUGGCUGGGGAGGCCAGAAGUGACCAAUGGCCAGGAAUCCUGCCCAAAACCGUCUCCUCAUGGUCAACUCACCAGUCAGUACCUAAAGUACGUUGAAAAACUGCACUAAGCUCAGUUAAAAUGCUGGCUAUCUCACCAGAACGUAAUCAGCCAUUCUUUUUUUUGGUUUAUUUCACCUUAAGUUUUAUGCUUUUAUAUACUGGGAUUCUUUUUAUACCUCACAAGAAUUAGAGACAAUUUUAGUGGAUUUUCAGUUUUAUUGGGGUCAAGACUUUCAGUGAGGCAGAACUGUGGUGAAGGGCAGGGUGUGAUUUUGGAUUAACCCUUUUCCUGCCAGUACAGACGGUGCCUCAGUCACAGCAGCUGCCAUCCCUUGUCUUGGCCAGCCUGGACCUGCUCCAGAGGUGUGGACAGCAGCUCAGGCAGACACUGCUGUAGGCAGCCCAGAAAUGUCCCAGGGACGGAAGGGAUAAGGACAAGGUUACUGUCUGGGGGCUUUGGAUCCCUCCCAUCUGCUGUCAAGGUAAAGUCUCUCCUAAUGUUGCAGAAACUUUCAAAUCCCCACAGAAACUGUGUGUGAAGAGGGGGAGUUAUUGGCAGUUCAGCAGUGAUAGAGCAGGAGAGAGAGUAAAUGCUAAAUGCAUUUUACUAUACGACAAAUUUUCAG